UGGAAAUCUAUCCUAACAUUUUUUUAAAAGUAACACUUUGCUUAAAUAAUGUAGUAUAAUAAAUUUAGUCUCCUUUUUUUCCUUUUAUUAGCAAAUUAGAAUUUACACAUAGAAUAAAAAUAAUGCCUUCUAUGUUUAUUGAUUGUUUUUGUGCCACUUUCAUUGUCAUUUAACUAAACUUGUGUUACAAAUGGUAUCCUGUAAUGGAUUUUUACUUUUUUAUCAAAAGAAGGCGAUUUCAUUUUCUACCUCGGAGAGAAUCCAAUGCAAAAUAGAGCCAGCAUAAUUACAUACGUACUUUUAUAACUUCAAUAUCAUAAUAUUUUGAUUUUGCUUUAUAUCACGUACUUUCCCAGCUGGUGGGCAGCUUCUGUUUUAGCUUUGUGGAUUAUAUUAGUAACGGGGGAAAGAGAUAUCAUACACAUUGUGAAACUAAUGAGCCCAACAUUCUGGUGUCAUUUGAGGAUACAAUAUUACAUCUGUUUGAUAGUCUUUGACUUGCUUUGUUAUAAUGCCUUGUACUCCAGGCACAGUGGCACUUCAUAAUUAUUUAUAGCAUGUAAGGACUUAGGCAGCAGCAGCAGAAUAUAAGUGCCAGGGGGGUAGUCAGGAAAGGAGAAAGACUUAGGAAGGACUGAUGAGGAAGGUAGAUACCAAGACAUGAGUCAAACCAGAUGUUGUGAACAGGGUUCCACAUGGUCAGGACAAAUCAGGGGAGCAGAUGACAAGAAAGCAGUAAGGCAGUAAGAGAAAACAUCUGGACAGCCAAAUCCCUUUCUUCAGGGUCAAAUAAGGUUUAAGAGAAGAGGCAAUUUCCUACUUCAGCUUUAGGAGUCCUCUGAUCUCAUGGGAACUAGUUCUUCAAUACAGUGCUUGUAAAACUUAAUGUGCAUAUGAAUCCCCUGGAGAUCUUUUAAAAUGCAGAUUCUGAUUCAAGAGGUCUGAGAUGAGGUCUGGCAUCUCCACUUCCAACAAUCUUCUAGAUGAUACUGAUGCUGCUGGUACAGGGAUCACAUAUUGUACAUCAAAAUGUUAAGCCAGCCCAGAGAUAGGCAAAGUAGACCAGCCAAAAGCUGGCUAGAAUGAGGAGCAUAGCAUUGGGGAGCAAGUAGAGUUUCUAAUAAAGGCAGAAUCUGCAAAUUUAAUGUAUUUCAGAUGAAAAAGCAAACUUGGUUGAUGGUUGCUUGUUAUGGAUUGACUUAACUCCCCGCCCCAAGAUAUCGAAUCCUAACCCCAGUACCGUGGAAUGUGAUCUUAUUUGGAAAUGGGGUCUUCACAGAGGUAAUUGAGUUAAAAUGAGGUCAUUAGGAUGAAACCUAAUCCAUUAUGACUGUGUCCUUAUAAAAAGGGAAAAUCUGAAUGCAGACAGACAUGCACUGAGGGAAGACGAUGUGAAGACACACAGGAGAAGAUGCCCAUGGGCCUGGAAUAAUGCGUCUAUAAGCCAGUGAACACCAAGGGUAGCCAGCAAACACCAGAAGCUAGAAGAAGCCAGGAUUCUUCCCUAGAACCAUCAGAGCGUGGCCCUGCUGACGUCUGGAAUUUGGACUUCUAGACUUCAGAACCGCAUAUAUCUAAGAGUUGAAUUUCGAAGUCAGGAUAUGCAAUCGUUCAGCUUUAGUAUAUGCUGCAAAACACUUUUCCAAAGCAUUUGUACUGGGAGAAUACGAAAGUUCCAGUUGCUCCACAUCCUUGUCAACUUGCCAUAUUAAUACAAAAUCUUUGGGAUUAAUUGAUCCAAGAAGAGGACUGAAAUUCCAGCCCUGCCGUUAAUUCAUGGAGUGACCUUGGGAAGGUCAUCAGUCUUCUCCAGGCUUCUGCAAAAUGGCAGAUUUUUAAGGAAUUGUCUUUUAGGAUCUUAAAGGUCUGUAUGGGUAUAACCCAUCUCUAAAUAUUGAUAUAAGGAAGUUUUGGCUCUAUAAUAUAUCUUCCUUGACAUUUUUGCAUUCAAUAAUAUUUACUGUGGUGGCAUUUAGGCUGUUUUCUUUUUAGAUCAUAGAAACAUGAAUUGUACAACAUAUCCUUUUCUCUCCAUCAUCAGUCAUUUAAUAUAUACAAAUCGAACUGUAAAUACAAAUAUAUACAAUUUGCAAAGAACCUGGAUUCAUAAGCCUAAUUGUCCAUGGAAGUCAUUACUUCAGACUCAUACUGAGCUAAGUUUGUGAAUAAUUUCACCCCCUGUGUAGUCAUUUUUGGAUGAGUGGCAUAUUUACCUCACUCAGGAAGAAAAGAGACUUUGUCACCAAAUAUUUGUGGAGAAACUAAAAUUUCACAUCAGCAGUUUUAAAAGACACAUGUUAACUCCAUCCUUUACCUGAUGUUGCCUAGUUAACUCUUUUUUCAUUAUUGUAUUUCUAGUUUUGAAACAAAAAUCUAAACACUGAAGUUAUAAUAACUCAAAAGCAGCCUAUAAAACUGAUCCUAGAGACGUUCAUGUUUCUUUCAGAACUGUUGCAGUGGUUUAUCUUAUUUUUAAAGUCUUGCUCCCUCAUUUAAAAGACAGCUACCACUAGUGUACCUGCCUGUAAUUAUCUUCAAAUUUCACCUGCACUACUCAGUGACAUUUAGAGGAGGCAGGGGUCUUUGAAGUCAACAUAGACUCACCCUAACAUCACACAGAUAAGGAACCAGAAACCUGCUACAGGUUAAGUCACUUAACCAAGAGGACUCAGUCUUGUUACCAAAGGAGCCCUGUUCUCCUGCCUCCUUUAACUGCUCUUUGAGUCGAACAAGUUUGUCAGAUGUCCGUUUAAGCAUAAACUGUUUUACCAGGUGUUUAGAGGAAGUUACAAAACAAAGAAAACACAGUUCCUGGUCUCAAAAUUGAAAGCUCCAGGACAACGAAGUCCAUGUGCAUCUUGUUCACUGGUGUAGCCCAGUACCUGGCUUAGUGCCUGGCACAUGGUAAGCACUCCAUCAGUAUAUUCAGUAAAAGGAACUUAGGAGAGAAGGUAACCUAAACAGGAGGAGGCUUAUCUGUUGCAAAGAUCGAGGAAGGCAGCCCGGUGGAAAGGACCUUCUUCUCUCCUCCUUCUCCUCCUCCUCCUCCUUCCCCCUCCCCUCCCCUCCCCCUUCCCCUCCCCUCCCCUCCCCCUUCUCCUUCUUUUCUUCUUCUUCUUCUUCUUCUUUCUCCCCCUCCUUCUCCUUCUUCUCCCCCUCCUUCUUCUCCCCAAAGCCCGCCAGGACAUAGUUGUAUAUUCUAGUUGUGAGUGCUAUGUGGGACACCGCCUCAGCAUGGCCUGAUGAGUGGUGCCAUGUGCACGCCCAGGAUCGGAACCAGCAAAACCCCGGGCCACCGAAGUGGAGCACGCAAGCUUAACCACUUGGCCCGAGGCUUGCCCCCCCAAAAUUUUUUAUAUACAAAGAGUUAGCAUUGUUUCUUUAGUCAGGUAGCUGUCUCGGAUAAUCCAUUUAAGGAAGAUCACUUAAUCUCACUUGAUGAAGCCCACAUCCUUCACGUACUGAUGGAAGCAUUGGUGGCACAUAUUGAGGCUGUAUUCCCAGAUCAGUAUGGUUUUGAGCAGACAUGGUAAGAGCAGAACUCUAGAAUUUUUGUGGAUGGCUCCAGUAGAACUUUUCCAGGGGAAAUUGAGGCAAAAGGAAAGAACUAGUACACGCGUGAGCUCUUCAGGUUUUGGGGACUUGGUUUCAGUACCUAGCAUUUUUAAAUGUGUUCUAUUUUAAAAAGACUUACAUAGUGUUUACUAUAUCCCAUGUUCUAAACAGCUCAUAAAUCUGAACUCAGGGACUCUCAGACAACCCAAGAGGUAAGUACUAUCCUUGUAUUAUAGGUGAGGAAACUGAGAUGUGAAGUUAAAUAACUCACUCAAAAUAGUCCUCAACUAGUAAAUGACAGAUAGGAACCCAGACAAUCUAGCCCUAGACUCCCUGGUGACCUUCACACACGAGGUCAUACUUGCUCCCUGCUGUGAGGAAUAGGAUGGGGACCCAAAGGAAAUAAAGCCAAGCUUUUCUCACUGCUUGACCCUUUCCAGCAGGCUCUUGAGGAGUAAUAGGGCUUGUGUAAGCCAAACCUUUCAUUCCUGUGCUUAUCAUCCCUUCAGUCAAACUAUCACUAAUUGUGCUCGAAAAGUGAUGCAUGAGCUUGUCUGUGGAAACCACUUCAUCUCAGGGACAUUGCAGUGAUAAUGGAAAUUGCCUUCUUCCCUGUCUGGUGGUAGGCAAGGACCUGGCGCUCUGCAUAGAGGGCCUGAGGAAGCUUGGCUGAUGAAUGUGGUAAAUAAGUAUUCAGGAGCUAAGCUGGUAAAUUGUUCAUGUGCACGUGUGUGGAGACUGGCUAAUUAAAGUGAGGGUCUGAAAGAGAAGAAAAUGCUAGCUCAUGCAUUUUGCAUAAUUAUGUGCCAAGCAUUUUACCUACCUUAGCUCAUUUAAUCCUCAUAACAAUUAGAUGAAGUUAAAAACUAUUAGCCCCUGUAAAGUGGAGGUCUUAGAGGCUGAGAGGGUUUUAGCUUGUCCAAGAUCACACAGCUUCUGUAAACAGCAAAGGAGGAGUCGGACCUCUUGUCUGAGGCCCAAACCACGCCCUUCCUACCUCACCAUACCAAACAUUGCAUCAGGACAGCUGAAGGAGCUGAAUUGAAGGCAGACAUGCUGUGGACUAUUGUGCAAUGAAUACAGAACAUGGCACAGGCUCUUUGCCAGGGCCAGCCAGGGCCAGAAAGGAAGCAAGAAGCAAGAUGAUGUGGCUUAUAAGCUGUGGCUGAGUGCAGAGGAGUCAAGAAGACUGACCAGGCUGGUGGCCAAAGCCGAAAGCUGCAGCUAGGAUUUCUGCCAGAGAGACCAGUUGGACAGACUGGGCAUCUCAGAGACUGAAGACUAUUUUUUAAAAAGGCAGUUGAGCUCCUCUUGGGCAGGCCCCUAGUGGACAUCAGCAGGGCAGGCACACUGGGAGGGAAGCCCAGUAAACAGUACUGAACUUGAAGGGCCCCAGUGAAGUCGUAAUUGGAAGCACCGGCUAGACCUGCAGCAGCUUUUACCACUUGGACAGUAUGUAAGCAGAAGAGGUGAAGUAGGGAUUUAGUGAUCUGGUGCUUCAGGUUUGGGGACUAAUACUGUUUGUACAUUACUUCUAUAGAGCAAGUAAUUGCUAUAUAACCUUGAGUUUAGAGACUGGCUCUUAUUCCUGUUCUCAUGUCCGUACUUCAGGGCUUUGCUUAUGGUAAGAGUUUAAUGUGUGAGAUGAAUGAAUAAAUAUUCCUAUUAUGUAUUGCAUAAAUUGGAUCUUUUUCUUUUGGUGAGGAAUAUUGGCCUUGAGCUAACAUCUGUUGCCAAUCUUCCUCUUUUUGCUUGAGGAAGAUUGCCCCAUGCUAACAUCUGUGCCAGUCUUCCUCUAUUUUGCAUGUGGGAUGCCACCACGGCAUGGCUUGAUGAGUGAUGUAUAGGUCUGCACCCAGGAUCUGAACCUGUGGACCCCAGGCUGCCAAAAGCAGAGUACAUGAACUUAACCACUAUGCCACUAGGCUGGCCCCUACUUUGGACCUUAAUUAUACAACCAAUAGCAAAUCAAAGUGGAACUAUAUAACAUUGGGUAUUCUGGUUCCUACCUUUCCUUCCAUCUUUAACAGAGACCCAAAGCACUAAGUUCGCAUUUAAUAUUUGUCCAGUGGAUGAAUGGAGUGUCCAACUUAGUUAUAUUUAUGGUGUUCACUGCUCACAGUGAACCCAUGAGAGCAUUUUGAAGUUCCUUGCCUGGUUUGUAGCUUGUGCAUCAGCACAACUUUAUGGUAAACAGAGCACUUCUCUGGAUUUCACAAAUGCAAACUGAAUUUGAGAUGCUCUGAGACUUACAAAAGGACUUACUUUUGUUAUCUAUUUAAUAAGCCAGAGGCCUUUUUUUUAAAGAAAAGUUCUCAAAAAAAAAAAUUGUCCCUAGACCAAGUUAAUUUAUGACGAGCUAUGACAUAUGGGAUGGCUUCUCUCCUACCAUGAGCUCCUUUCAAGGCAGAAUUCAUCAGGGAACAAUAGCCAGCACACUCAGCAGCUCCCACCACCUCUCUCCAAUUUACCAAGGAAAUCCAUCCUCCCACUGCUUCACUUCCUGCCUUUAGUAAAACCAGAUUUUGAUUUACUGCUGGGAGUUAUAGAAAUUGAGCAAGGCUGACACAUAUCUGUCAUUAAAACUUAAUGCUGAAAAAAAUAAAUGCUCACCCAAAUGCUCAGUUUGUUGCCACCAUCUUCUCUAAUUUCCACCUUAAAUAGUAGUUCUAAGAUUCACAUACUAGGGGUAGAAUACAGUCAACACGACAGGAAAGGGGGUUUUACUCUGAGAGAUUGUAGCAAUUAUUUCUUUAAUAAAUAAAUGAGAUGUUUCUUUCCAUUGAU
rnacentral:lncRNA from 1 species